GCCUGGUGAGAAUCACUCCAUAGAGUGAUACAGCACAAGGAGUCUGGAUUUUGGAAGCCUCAUUGUCAACGUGAGGCCACGGGAAGAGGAGGAGGAGGAGGAGAAAGAGCAGAUCCCAACCAUCUUCCCACCUGCUGCCACGGAGAAGCCAUGACAAGGGCAGGGGGAGCAGAAACAUGGCCACGUGCGAACGUGUAGGUUACUUCACCAACAGGAUCCUGUAGGAGUCAGCCUCAGAGACAAGGCUACUCCCCUGCUCGGCCUCCAUCCUAGAGGAGAAACCUGUCUCACAGCAUUGAGAAUGUUGGGAAAGUUGGGGCAGUUUGACAGAAUGGCUCAUCUGCAAUUGAAGAAUGAA